UUGGAGGGCAAGUCUGGUGCCAGCAGCCGCGGUAAUUCCAGCUCCAAUAGCGUAUAUUAAAGUUGUUGCAGUUAAAAAGCUCGUAGUUGAAUUUCGGGAUUGACGUGAUGGUCAUGCCUUAAGGGGUAUGAACUGUUACUGUUGAUUUCUCACCUUCUGGAGAAACUUGAUGUCCUUUAUUGGGUGUCUUGCGGAUCCAGGACCUUUACCUUGAAAAAAUUAGAGUGUUUAAAGCAGGCAUUUUUGCUCGAAUACAUUAGCAUGGAGUAAUAGAAUAGGACGGCAUGGUUCUAUUUUGUUGGUUUCUAGGAUCACCGUAAUGAUUAAUAGGGAUAGUUGGGGGCAUUAGUAUUCAAUUGUCAGAGGUGAAAUUCUUGGAUUUAUUGAAGACUAACUACUGCGAAAGCAUUUGCCAAGGAUGUUUUCAUUAAUCAAGAACGAAAGUUAGGGGAUCGAAGACGAUCAGAUACCGUCGUAGUCUUAACCAUAAACUAUGCCGACUAGGAAUCAGACGAUGUUAAUUUUUUAAUGACUCGUUCGGCGCCUUACGGGAAAC
rnacentral:rRNA from 1 species